ensembl:lncRNA novel transcript, antisense to BNIP3
GGGGAGCCCCACUCAGGGCGUAAAUACAUUUGGUUCACUGUGAGAUUCUGGGGGUACUGACAGCGGCAAACACUGUCCUAGGGAAGUCACGUGACAUGAGGGCAAAGAUGGUGACGGCAGCACUGGUUAUAAGAAAAGAAAAUGAAAACAGCCGAAAACGGCUCAAAACAGGGACAUGACGAAGGAAGGGACACUGUAUAGUGAGCAGGUUUACAAGAUGCUUCCGGGAUAAGCAGGAGGGAAAAGGCAGAAAUGUCCACAUAACCACAGCUGCGGCCAAAUCCUCAGAAUUAUAUAACAGCACGAAACAUUAAAGAGGAUUUUAAAUCUGA